GGGAAGCUGGCUCAGUGGUAGAGUGCUUGCCUAGGAUGCAUGAGGCCCUAGGUUUGAUUCCUUGGUACCACA
rnacentral:tRNA from 1 species